UACGGGGGGGGCAAGCGUUGUUCGGAAUUACUGGGCGUAAAGGGCUCGUAGGCGGCCAACUAAGUCGGACGUGAAAUCCCCAGGCUCAACCUGGGAACUGCAUCCGAUACUGGAUGGCUUGAAUUCGGGAGAGGGAUGCAGAAUUCCAGGUGUAGCGGUGAAAUGCGUAGAUAUCUGGAGGAAUACCGGUGGCGAAGGCGGCAUCCUGGACCGACAUUGACGCUGAGGAGCGAAAGCAAGGGGAACAAACGGG
rnacentral:rRNA from 1 species